CUCCCCCUCCACAGGGGGCACCCGGUUUAAUUUCUCAUCUCGGGAGAGUCAUACUCCGACCCCCAGUCCCAAGCACCAACCUCCGAGCAGCCCCCAAGACCGGGCAUUGGGGAGGCCAGUCAGACGUGCCGUCACUGACCGACAUCCGUGGGUCACUUGGUACCACAAUGGCCACCAGCAACAUGGCCCAACUCGGCCACAAGGAUCUUGUCAUGCAAGAGCAGGACAGACUUUUCUCAUAGCAGUGUGACUUGGGCCUUGAGGAGUCAGGAAGAAGAGAAGGGGGCUGUCCUCCCAGAACAGGGGGAAAAGGAAGUUUCUGGAACCAAAGCCUGGUCAGUGGAAUGUCUCCACCGGGUAGUCUGCAGACACACUUUCCUCACAGUUGGUUUGGGGUCUGCUCACGAUAGAAAGAUGGAGUUGGAGUGGGCUCCAGCACCCCAUCUGAGCGAGGCCCAGGGUCCUGCAGGAGUUCACAGGCCCUGAGGACAGGACUUUGGCUCACAGCUGUAUCUCCAGAGACUAGACCUGUGUCUGACACCUACCAGGUGCUCAAUAAACUCUUGUCAAAUGAGACCCCAGGAACAUUUCAUGUUUCCUGCUUCCGGAGGUGGAUAUUGGAGGCUCGAGAAGGUAAGGUCACUGCCCAGGGUUGACCACCCCCCUGGAGAACCAGGCCCAGACCAGGCUGGAGGGGCUCCAGAGCCCCCGCUCGUCACUGCAUGUGCUCUCCUGGAGCUGGGGGGUGUCCACCAGAGUUCCUGAAAACAGAGCGUCUGCUGAAGGAGGCUGGGGAUGGCUGCAGAAUCGUUACUGCUGGUGGCACCAGUGUACCCAUUCUGGCCUGACCCCUGAGUUGGUCAUAUUCGGCCCCGUGGACCACUCUUGUUUCUCCAGCUCUCUGCUGCCCUGGACCCCAGGCUAUUUAUUCAAGUGUCUUCCUCACUGUCUCCCCAAAGCAGAAAGUCUUCCUUGAUGCUCCCGGGGCUGACCUCAGCCCCAGCACUUCUUACUCCGUGUGAUCACUGCUGGCUUACAGGCCAGUCUGGUCCUUGCACUGAGAGCAGGGCCCCAAGGGAUGGCUCUGAGGAAGCAUGAGCAAGUGGUGGAUGGAAGGAUAGAUGGAUGGAUGGGUGGAUGGAUUGACGGAUGGAUGGAUGAGUGGGUGGGUGAGUGGCCAGAUGGGUAGAUGGAUGGGUGGGUAGGUAGAUGGUGAGUGGCCGGGUGGGUGAGUGGCUGGGUGGAUGAAUGAAAGGACAGGUAGGUAGUGGAUGGUUGGGUGGAUGGAUAGGUGUGUGGCUAGUGUGUUCCUAACCGAGGCCAGCAGACCACCCCUGCGUCAGGCACACCCUAGUGCCCCAGGGCUCCUGGCCAGAACGGAUCAGAGAGACUGUCCACAGAACAGCUGAAGAGGUGGGUGAAGCUUAGCCUGCAGAAGGCGAGGCCCAGGGGAGCAGGAGAGCUCCCUUUGAGGGUUUGG
rnacentral:lncRNA from 1 species